rnacentral:rRNA from 1 species
UACGUAGGGGGCGAGCGUUGUCCGGAUUUACUGGGCGUAAAGCGCGCGUAGGCGGAAGAUUAAGCGUGGCUUGAAAGCCCCCGGCUCAACCGGGGAAGGUGGCUGCGAACUGGUCUUCUUGAGGGCGAUAGAGGGGGGCGGAAUUCCUGGUGUAGCGGUGAAAUGCGUAGAGAUGUGGAGGAACACCGAUGGCGAAGGCAGCCCCCUGGGCCGACACUGACGCUCAUGCACGAAAGCGUGGGGAGCAAACAGG